GUGGUGUUUGGGUAUCAACUUAAAAUGCCAAAUUUAAGUCAGAAAGUUCUUAAAGUCACCCAAAAAUGAAAAGUUGGAAAUCCUAAUUUUUUUUUUGGAUGGCUUAAAGCCAGUUUCGUUGACCAUGAAAAUUAUUUUUAUAUCCCUUAUAUUUUAUUUUAAUUCCCAAAAUGCCCUCACAGCUAAAGCCCUAAAAUUCACCCUCAUUUUUUCAUCAACAACGCAGCCUCCACAUCUCUGUUCAUCAUCAUCUACAACAACGCAUCAUCAUCAUCCACGAUCUCUGUUCCUAAAAAAGCUUCAUCUGAUUACUUUGCUUGGAUUGCUAAACAGAUUUUCAAUCUUGGUGACUAUUUGAAAAUGUAGUAGAGCGCACAUUUGGCGUUUGGAAAGCAAGAUGGUCUAUUUUGAGAGACAUGCCAUACUAUCACAUUGACACACAAAGGGACAUCGUGCUUGCUACUAUGGCCAUUCACAAUUAUAUUAGAAAGAAAUGCAAUGUGGAUGAUGCAUUCCAAACAGCCGAGAAUGAGAGCUAUAUUCCAUUGGUUGAUUCUAAUGAUAUUGGCACAACUUCAAGAGCUAACAAUGUAGAUGUCGAAGAUGUAGGAGAACAAAAUGAUGUCUAUUGGAUGGGGUUUCGUGAUAUGAUUGCUAGUGACAUUUGUAAUGCUUGAUGCUUGUAUUAUAUGAAUAUUUUCCACUUCUUGUAUUUAUAGUGUAGUGUUUUCGGUUGUAUUA